rnacentral:lncRNA from 1 species
GUGGGGGUCGUCCCUGAGAAUUUAGCUGCAGGUGUGUUUACAAUAAAAUACAUAUAUAUAUAGGUGCAUAGCUCCACAUCCAAAUUUGUGAAAGGAUCCUAGGACCGACGUUAUGGCUCGCUGGGUGACUCUCACCUUUGCGUUCUCCUGUCUCCUGGCUGCAGCCCACGCUGCAACGGUAAGACCAAAACUAGGGGGGUUUAAACCGUGGUGAAAUAUGUAGCUACUAUUAUGUUGCUAAUAUGUUGCUAUUUCCUGGCAGACCUAUACAUUAAACUGGAAGUUGUUAGGCAUUCACCAGUGUCUUUCAAAAGUUAGGUCAAAAUAGAGAGUUGUUUGAGAAGUUUUUAAGGUUCGGUUAUUUUGGCAAAAACAUUUGAAAUACUCAGAUGAAUUUCCGAUGAUUUCCAGUUCAGCGAAUGAGCCUGUGGUUAUCUUAUCACUGUCAUGACAUCGCGGGCUGGUUUUAUGCAGGUAGUUAUGGUUACAUAGUUCUAACCAUGAAGCAAUUUCCAUGGAAACCAGUGGAAUGUUGUUGCUGGUUGCUCCAUGUUAGCAUUUUGCUCUACAAUAGUCUAUAUACUUGUGGUCCAAAGUUUGGAAUCAGUUUUAUCCAAAGACUUUGUUCACCAAACUUAUGUAGUAGUUAUUGGCAUAAUUUAAAUAUUUUUACUAUAUAUAUAUAUAUAUAUAUAUAUAUAUAUAUAUAUAUAGUUAAUGCAAUGUUAAACAAAAAUCUGCACACCAGUCAAGCCAUAAGACUUGCUUUUCCCAGAGAAAUCACAAAUCUGCAGUGAUGUUACUACCGCAAAGGAUUCUGGGUAGGCAUAUGCAAAUUAGUUUAACAAAACAGACUUCAGGUGGAAGGGGUUUUCAAUCACAAUUUUUCCCCACCAUAACCUAUCUGGAUUUUGCUUCCCAAGCACUACCAAGCCUCAAUAAGCAAACCAGUAACCAACCUCAUGCUGAUGAGUUACAUUAACAACGAAACAGCUGUCCAUGAGUGGUUUACUGGCUUUGCAUCUUUUCCUAAGUUGUGUUUCAAAGCUGUUAUAUACAGCAAACACAGAUUAAAAGGAAUCCAUGUUUAAAAUGUAAUGAGGCAAAAAUGUGAUUCUUUGUUAAACUAAUUUGCAUAUGUCCGCCCAGAAUCCUUUGCGGUAGUAACAUCACUGCAGAUUUGUGAUUUCUGUGGGAAAAGCAAGUCUUAUGGCUUGACUGGUGUGCAGAUUUUUGUUUAACAUUGUAUUAACUAUCCACAGACCUCAGGUGGAAGGGGUUUUCAAUUACAAUUUUUCCCCACCGUAAACUAUUUGGAUAUAUAUAUAUAUAUACACACACAUACACACACACUCUCACACUCUAUUCCACACCCAAUCUAACCAAUCAGUGUCCUAUCCUUAGGAAUGCUGUAAAAGGCAUGCCUGACAGAUUUACACAUGGGCAGUUGAAAAUCUUUUCACCUUGCAAUAUCCUUACAGGGGAGUCUGGUCAGUGUGAUCAAGCAGAGCAGGCUCCAGUAUCCAGUUUCUCUCCCUUGCUGCCCUGUUUUUGUCAUUAGUGGGUAACAGGGAGGGGAAGGCUUAAAAACGUCGCUUGCUGACUGGCAUCUCUAACAAUACAAUCUGACCAAGUUUAUAGUAAGUUUAUAAAUUUUAUUACAUACUUAUUAAAGUUUUUCUUUAUUUAUUUUGGCUUGUAUAUUUGUUUAAAAGUGUUUGCUGUUUUAAAUAAUUUAUUCUCAAGUGAUGCAUGUUCUUUUAAGCAUAUGCUCUAAGAGCUUCUGCACUGUCGGCUUGUAUAAGUGUUUUAUAUUUUCCAAUUUAUAUAACUUCACUCACAGCACAAUCACAAUGACAACAGGGUUCAGUCCCUUGAGGGUUCAACUCUUACCUUGCCCUCUUAAAAGUGUUACCAUGGUAGCCUUGAUUGCUGUGACUGUGGAAGAUAAAUGUGAUAACCACAGAAUGGCCAAGAUGAUAUGACUUCACUUCUGCUGUAAUAAAUAUAUCUUUAUAAGAAGGUUAAUUUUUUAUUAUGUUGUUCUUUGGAGCCGAGAAGAUGUACAACUCCAGUAAUGGCGACUGGUCAGGGGAAUCAGAGAUGUACUGAUUCACUGAAAUCACAGUGUCCUGCUUUAUAUAUGCCUGUGCUAAUGUUACACUAUGCACGGGGAAUAUCUUGUAAUGGUGAACUCUUGUAUUUACAGCUGGGAGUUGUCCAUACUGAAGGGGGAUUUGUAGAGGGAACAAGCAAAAAAAUCGGCAUUCUAUCCCCGAGUUACAUUGACAUUUUCAAGGGGAUUCCCUUUGCUGCACCACCAAAGGUUCUUGAAAAAGCAGGACCCCAUCCUGGCUGGUCAGGUAAAUUCUUGCUCGUUCCUACCUUUAUACAGCAUACUAUAGGAUUCGGCUCUGUUUUGCAUAUUAAUUCCCUUAAAACAACCACCAGUCUACACCUCUGUUCCUUUUUUUUUUUUAAUGUAUUCUUUAUUUUUGUAGUGCAAUGUGAAUAACACAUAUAAUGAGAGGCAUUACAAAAAUAAGUUUAAACAAAAAUUGGAUUACAGACAUGUCUGAAAUACUACACUUUUUUUUAAAUCAUAAUAAUAGCAGUUGCUGGUACAAUAAACAACAGGAGAUAAAUAGCAUGUUAGAGAUCAGCAUGGAGGGUAAAACAAGCAUAAAAUUGAACAGUGCCAAAACUAAAGACAUCGUAGGCUGUGGGUGGGUGAGUGAUAUCUCUUGCAAGUUCCUUGUACAGGAGGAAGAAUGCGGAGACAGGACUCCAGGUAAGCAGCGAUAUCUUUUUAGCCUAUGCGUGCUGGGUUUACCUCGCAGUCCAACCUGAUGGUGCUAUCCAGAGAGGGUAAAACACUGGCCCAUAGGGUUUUGAUUAUCUUGCGGGCAAGUAAGGAGGGCCCAGGUAGGGUAUGUUGUGAGAGGUUUCCUGCAGGCUGCUGCACCGAUGUCUUCUGCACAUAUGUAUCAGGUGCCUGGCAUGUAGGAGGCUUGUGCCCCCUGAGUUGUGAUUUGCUGCAGCCGAAUCUGUCGUACCCUCCCAGAUGGUUUUUGCCCCAGUCCGCAUCAAACACAUGGCCCUCUGUGGGGAGCCUCUAACUGGCUAUGUAAAGAGUAUCGCAGGUACAACGGGGGCAAUGCAGAUAUCAGUGGUUCACCUCUUGUUGCUUUCAUGGGGUCUCUGAGCCUGGACCAAAAUUCCUCAAACAGCCUGUCCAGGCCUUACAAGAUGGAGGCUGCGUCCCUCACACUGUUUAUGAAUAGACCGCUGAUAGACCAUAGGUCUGCUUCAAACCGGAUCCACCACAUACGACUGGACCUGCAGCUGGAAGUGCUCCACGAAGAGGUACAGCUUCACUUCAGGUAAGUAUAUGUCACAGGAUGUGUGCAAUAAGGUUUAGAAGAAAGGCUUAAUCAGCAACCCCUGGCACGGAGCUCUCAGGAUUUGAGUCCCAUUGCCAAGGCGGUCAGGCACCGCCGCCCCCUCUUUUUUUUUUUUAUGUCAGUCAACUUUAUCACCUGCUACCACUACUUAAAAAAAUACAUUUGAUUUUACUUUUUGAUGGUCUAGACCAGUGGCAACCUAUGGCACUCCAGGUGUUGUGGACUUAAUUUCCCUUGAUGCUUUGCCUGUUUUAUGGUGAUAGGAGCAUUGUGGGAGAUAUAGUAACUGUGAUGACGUGCCCUUCGCCACUUGUGCCUGGAGAGGACUAAUUGCCAGCCUCCUGCCAUGUGACUAUGGUCCCUGGGAGACUUUGCCAGUUAAAAAGACUAUUUGGGCUUAUUGUCUUUUAAAAUACUGUUUCUGCCCUUUGAUUCCAUGGGAGCAUGUGUCUCUUCCCCUCCCCCUCUAAUACCUAUACCAUUGUUCUCCAGCAAGGCGUUGUCCCAGGGACACUGCCAAACCAGUUGAAACAAGCUGUUUUGUCCCAAAUAGGACUUUUACGUAACUUUUGAACUACUGGAGGGAAUUGUAUGAUUUUUGGGUAUGUUUAUAAUUAAAGUGUGCUGGGUUCGAAUGUGUGAUUUUUUAUGUUUGUGGCAUGUAUAUUUUGGAAGUUAUUAAUAUGUUGCAUAAAGCGUAUUUGUCCUGCCUGUGAUAAAUGGCAUUAACACAUUGUGUUCAGUAAUUAGAUCACAGGCAGAGGGGAGGGAUUGUAUGUUGGUGCUGGGUGUGUUUUAUGGUUUGCCUGUAAAGGAUUGGUUGUACUGUGUCCCACCCUGUGGGAUGUCCCCUUUCAUGGGGACUUGCAUAAAAGCCAGUGUGUGGUCAUUAAAAAGCAGAUCAUCUUGUACCUUUCUUGAAGCCUUGGCUCAUGUUUGGGGGAUUGGAGCACUACACUCUGUGGAUUGCUAUAAUUACUAUACUCCCCAGGGUAUGAUCACUAAGCUCUGCUAAGAGCUUGUUCCUGUUCCUGCUCUCUGGGGAAAGAGAGGUUCACCCACUGGAAGCUGGAUCCUGGCCUCGGGUCCAGGGUGGGUGGAGACAGCGAGACCCCGGCGCAGCUGCAUUGCUGGAAGUGGGGUCUGCAGUGCUGAUGGUGUCGGUUGGAGUGCUUGGAGUCCUCAGAGAGCACUAGGAGCAUCGAUUGGCGGAGGUACUCAGUCGGAGUGCCAGCGGUCCGUCACAGUAACUACUUACUUUCUGGACUGUGGUCCCCCAUUCUUGCAACAGGACAUGUAUGAAUUUUCCAUGUAUUCUUAUAAGUUCUCACUAGUAGUAAUUUUUUUCUGUAAAAGCUAUAACAUUUUUAGGAAUUUCAUGUGUUCGACCCAGAUGCUCCAAGUUUUUCACUUCAGUAUGGAGUCUUGUAGAACAUAUUUCUUAUCUCCAAAUUGCAAAUGGCUUGUUUCCCCAUGAAGACCUCACCAUGGCCCUCCACAACAGCAGAUGUAAUAUUCCUUUCCUAGAUGAUUCUGCCCUUUUAUGGACAAUGCCACUCACUCAUUGUACAGAUGGUCCAUGUGAGGACCCUCACCCAGACCUUCAAUCUUUCUUCCUCCUUAGGAAAAGGCAGAAAUCGCCACUAUUAUAGAUUGUAAUUUCAUGAGCAGAGUCCUCAACUCCCAUUGUAUCUAUAAAUGUAAUUAUUGUAUCUGUUUUCUGUCAAAUUCUAAUUUUAGAGAUCCACACAAUUCAAUGAAAAAUCCACCACACAUAAAUUAAACAAGUAACAACAUGAGGUGCUUUAAAUAUAUAUAAUUGUUUAAAAUGUUUUUUUGGGGUAAGACAAAUUUCCCUUUCAAAUAUACAGUAAGCUUCCUAAAUUCAACAACGGGUUCAUGUUCUAUCUCUUUAGGUACCCUAAAGGCCAAAGACUUCAAGGAAAGAUGUUUGCAAUCCGACUUAGCCCAGAAUGGCAUUCGUGGAGAAUUGGACUGCCUGUAUUUGAACAUUUGGGUUCCCCAGUCCCGCUCAGAAGGUCAGUUGCUAUGAUACUGGACACAGAAAUGGCGUACUACAUGCAAGAAUUUUUCAAACUAGAAUUGCUCAUCUACUCAAAUUCUCUGCAUAUUUUCAUAUUCAUUAUACUGAUGCAACAAUGGAAUAAUUCAUUAAACCAAGUAACUUCUAAAUACUGAAUAGAAUAUUACUCUGAACUAUCCCCAAAAUAUAUAUAUGGAAGAAAAAGUCUACCAAAGUUAUUCACUGAGCUGGAAAUUGACCAAAUAAUUGCAAAUUAAAUGGGAAAAGAUUGUUGAACUGAAAAUGCGUCUAGAACUAGUUUGAUUACGUUUGGAGAAACUUAUUUAUGUGCCAUGCAAAUUUAGGGCCUUCAAGUUAAUAGAUCACCACACUGGAUUUACUGUGCUGGUUAACCAUCCAGCAUUUCCCUAGUCCCAGCUUAUUGUUCUCUCUGUUGCCCAACUCUUGAUAGGACUGUAAUAACAAGAUUGUUGGGCAAAGCAACACAAUCAGCCUCUUAUCAUUAAAUUGCAGAUUGGCUUGGACUGGUAAUUUUUUUUUUUACAGUAGCAAAUUCAGCAUUUCCUAUUAUUAUUUGUAAUGAACUUCUCUUUUUCUCAGUAUCUACAAAUCUGCCAGUUAUGGUCUGGAUCUACGGUGGAGCCUUCCUUCUUGGUGGAGCUCAAGGGGCCAAUGUCUUGGGCAAUUAUCUGUACGAUGGAGAGGAAAUUGCUCUUCGUGGCAAUGUAAUUGUGGUAACCUUGAACUACCGUGUUGGACCUUUAGGUUUUCUCAGCACUGGAGAUUCUAAUAUGCCUGGUAAGACCCAAUUCCAUCAUGUUCUGUACCAACAUCUUUCUGGGGAGCAUCUUAAUCUGUUCAUAGAUUAAUCAAAUAUGGAGCUGAGAUUUGCAUUAACACUUAGAAUUCCUUUUAUGUUAUCUAAAAAGGUAUUAAACCAUUUCAUUAAUGGCCAGAAUAAUGGCACACAGGUCCGCUGUAAAAGAUUUGAGAAGUCAGUGUUGUUUUUACAUCCCUAAUUAAAUGUAUGCUUCUUGCACACAGGUAACUAUGGACUGUGGGAUCAACAUAUGGCUAUUGCUUGGGUAAAAAGAAAUAUUGCUGCCUUUGGAGGUGACUCCAGCAAUAUUACCAUAUUCGGAGAGUCAGCCGGAGGUGCCAGUGUGUCUCUGCAGGUACAGAACUGAGUUGGCAACAUACCUGGAUUCAGGACAGAAUUUACAUAUCAGAACAGAGCUAUUCUUUGCUUUAGUUAUUCUACGUGGUUGCCUGUGUGUACAUAAAAAAUUCAUAAAUUGUGCAGUGUUUUUCUAGGUGGGCACUACCAUUCCACACCUCUCGUAAUGAGUAUCCUCAGUAAAACUAUCCUGGAAAAUAAAGAGUUUGUGCAGCAUCACAUGAGUGUAUGAUCAUACAAUCCAGAUAAAGUGUUCCAGUGUGAAGUGGACCCAAAGAUGUUGUUUGGUUUUAGCUUCAUUUGGCAACUGGCCAUUAAAGUGCCAGUAUGUUCUGCCACACCGUACAACUGGGACGUCAUGUAUGAGAUGUAAGGGUGGAUCUAGAUUUAGAUUUUAUACAUAUAAGUUCUGGAUCCUUGAGCUCAUCAUGGUUUUCUUUUUGUUUGUUUUUUUAUGCAGACUCUGACCCCUUACAAUGUUGGACUGAUCAAGCGAGCAAUCAGCCAGAGUGGAGUUGGACUUUGCCCUUGGGCAAUUCAACAAGAACCGCUAAAGAAUGCUAAAGAGGUAAUAAUCCAUUUUAACCAGGCACUUGAUCAAAGCAUUUAUUCCAAGCUUUGGUGGCCAAUCUUCUGUAGAUACCAAGUAACCAAUCGAAAUAUGGCCAACUGUGCUUUCUCCUCUCUAUUCCACUAAAGUGCUUUGUGUGGGCUUAUAUCAACUCUAGCUGUUACAGGUUACCUAAUUCUUAUUCUGCACAUAUGGAGGGUAUACCAGGAAAGCCCUUCGAAUCACAGUUGCCUAACUAUGCCUAUAAACAAGUAUAUAUUUUUUUAUCCUGCUGUUUUAUUUAUGGCGUCUGCAUUCCCAAACAUGGAAUCAGAUGCCUUGCAAAUUUCUAUGAGCUGGGAUUUUUUUUUUAAAUUCGUUAUUUAAGGUGCUUUUCAUUUUUACACAAAAUGGAUGUGAAUACAACAUACAUAAGUGUUAACAUUACAGGAAUUAACAGUACACAUGGUUACAUGAAUUUUGAAGCCGAUCCAUAGCAGGAAUAGCUAUUUGGGCCAUGCAAUAAUAUACAUUAUGCAUUGGGAUCGUAACAUGUAAACAAUACUGGGCCUAACAGUGUCUUAGGACAAUAGUAUAAGAAAAGAGAAAGAGAAAAGACAGUACCCAAAGAAGAAAGGAAUUUUUAAAAAAUAUUUACAAAUAAAGUCGUGUAUGUGAGUAUGGUACCCCUGUUAAUUUGGAGUAUGUCUCCGGUUUUCUAUAUUAGAUGGUCCACAUGUUGCGUCUUAGCCAUUUGAGCUUGUUGCCUUCGUAUAAGGGGCAACAUACUGGAUGGUAUCAGGCAUAUUUUCUGGGUGCACCUCAUGAGUCACUUGGCAGGCGAGCAAACUGGAGUCAAUUCCCUCUAAAGGUAUAUAGGUCUCUAUGAGGGCAAGCUGUGAGAUCUGUGAAAUGUGAGUCGGAAUCGAGUUCCAUCAUGAGCUGGGAUUUUUAAACUCUCUUAUUCACUUUUUGGUGUCACCCCUACAUUGUAUUUUAAUAUUGAUAGUUGCCCUUCUAUGACAUUUAUUCUGAACCUUAUUUCGAGGAUGGAAAUAUGAUGGAUCUCACAUAAUAGCUAAUAAUGUCUACCCUCCUUAAUAGCUUUGCAAAGGGUGAAAGCAUACAAGAUAAAAUAUAUCUGUUCAUAGACAAAAUAUUAUUUUUGAACAGUGUAUAGGUGGAUUUUAUGAAUUAGCUAUGCUUGUCAAUAUUAAAAUAUAAGUUUCAUUUUUUUCAAGUACUACAUAGUGACACUGCAGUCAAUGCUUUCUAAAAUUCUAAGAAAGUCUAAUUCUGCUGAAUAAAGGUUGACAUUUUUUCUUGGCACCUGAAUAUUGUCUGGAUGUUUGGCUCAGCCAAAUUUUAAUUUGGGAACCAAAUCAAGAGAAGAAGAAUCGGCCAAUUGUCCAUUUGUGUAAUAUUAUCUGUAUAUUUUGCGCUACAAUGAUAGGAUCAUUUCCCCAUUUGGUUCACAGGUCAAGUGAGAAAAAGUAACCAGUAGAGGGAAAAACACAUUAUAUAUGUUUGUAUUAUAUAUUUAUUAAAUAUAUAUUGAUCACUUCUCGCUUGAUCUGUAAAUAAAAUCAACAUUUAGUGACUGCACCCUAGCCAUCAAUCCCCUCUUUUUUGGUGCCCCAGAAACACAUUUGCCAUUGUGCGGUUCUGUUAGUCCAUAAAUACGAACAAGUUCAGUUGAGUUGUAGUUUGGUCUUAAACAAAUGUCCAAGCUUUCCAAAAUUGUAUGAAAUUGACAUGGUUAAUGUGGACGUUUAAUACACUAGAGCUGCAGGCACCUACGGUACCCUCAAACUGUGCAGAACCAGGGAACAGAGCCUGUACCCUUGUAAUACCAUAACCACUACAAACUGUAUGUAGUUAUUAUGGUGCUUAGAGUAUCCCUUUAAAAGUCACGUGGAAGAAUGUUUAACUUUAAAGGACCACUAUAGUGCCAGGAAAACAUACUCGUUUUCCUGGCAUUAUAGUGCCCUGAGGGUGCCCCCACCCUUAGGGUUCCCCUCCCACCAGGCUCUAGGGGGAGGAAGGGGUUAAACUUACCUCUUUCUCCAGAGCCGGACGGGGAGCUCUCCUCCUCCUCGGCUGAAUGCGCAUGCGUGGCAAGAGCUGCACGCGCAUUCAGCCAGUCUCAUAGGAAAGCAUUUACAAUGCUUUUCUAUGGACACUGGCGUCUUCUCACUGUGAAAAUCAAAGUGAGAAGCACGGAAGCGCCUCUAGCGGCUGUCAAUGAGACAGCCAUUAGAGGCUGGAUUAACCCUAACAUAAACAUAGCAGUUUCUCUGAAACUGCUAUGUUUAUAGAAAAAAGGGUUAACCCUAGCUGGACCUGGCACCCAGACCACUUCAUUAAGCUGAAGUGGUCUGGAUGCCUAUAGUGGUCCUUUAAUGAACAACCAUGACAGGUGCUUCUUUUCUUUUCUGACCACAUUCUUUCAAUCUCUUGGUAGGAUUUUUUUCCAGGAAGCAGAGGCUUUCUUGAUCUGUUCAUUGCUUCAUUUUAUAGAGUUUUCUUUGUUUUUUCAGCUUGGAGCUAAAGUUGGAUGUCCUAUUCACGAUUCAGCAGUUCUUGCCAGUUGCUUGAAAACUACUGACCCCAGUGCCCUUACCGCAGCGUAUAGUCUGCAGCUGACAGGUCUAGAAUGUGAGUUGUCACUUUAGGAAAAUUGUGACUAUAGGGGAUUCUGAGAGCCGAAAGAAAUUCUAAAGCACACUGCUACCUGGUUGCAUUGGACCAGAACAGACUCUAAAUUCUUUAAACCUUUACCCUUCUUAGUUGGGUGUUCUGCGGUUUGAGCUAACAAAGUCACUGUAGCUGUGGACAGCUUUGCUUUCCGGUUACUACAUUUAUAAAAUAACACACACAGUAAGGGGCACAAAAAUCAAGACAGGACAGUGAAACACAAGAAAACUAAACAAGUCAGACUGUGAUUGUGGAGGCAAUUAUUAUUAUUUUUUACAUUUAUAUAGCGUCAACAUAUUCCAUAGCGCUUUACAAUAUUAUAAGAGUUGAAAAUUUAUGAGACAAUUACAAAAAUUUAUAGGAGCAGUAGGUUGGUGAGGAUUUUGCUCAAAUGAGCUUACAGUCUAAAGGAGGUGGGAUAUAAAACACAAUAGGACAGGGUACAGCAAUCAAACAAGGUGGGAGUGAAGCAGAACUGGAGGAGAGACUUGAGUGCUGCCUUUUAAGAGAGAGCAAGGACAGUUAUGUGAGGUAGAGGUAACUCUAGGAGGCCAUAAGCUUUCCUGAAGAAAUGGGUUUUGAAGGACUUUCUAAAGGAUUGAAGGCUAGAGAUAGUCUAAUGGGGGUAGGCAAGCUAUUCCAAAGGUAAGGAGCCGCCCGUGAGAAAAAGCAGUAUGUGUGCGAGCAGUGGACAGAACGAAGAGACGAAGAAGGGGCAUUCCUAUUAUUAUUAUUAUUAUUGCCGUUUAUAUAGCGCCAACAGAUUCCGUAGCGCUUUACAAUAUUAUGAGAGGGGAUUUAACUAUAAAUAGGACAAUUACAAAUAAACUUACAGGAACAAUAGGUUGAAGAGGACCCUGCUCAAUCGAGCUUACAUUCUAUAGGAAUGAAUCAGAAAAGAUAUAACAGGGGUUAGAGUUGUUUAGAGCUUUAUAGGUAAGGAUUAGUAUUUUGAAUUGACUACUAUAGGAUACAGGAAGCCAAUGGAGUGAGGUGUAAGAGGAGUGACUGGAGAGGUAAUUCAGUCUGGCAUCAACAUUCAUUACAGACUGGAGUGGGGCAGUAUGGUUUUUGGGAAAGUCAUUUAGGAAAGAAUUACAAUAGUAGGCAAUGAAACACAACUGGGAAUGGACUGAAACCCUUCAAAGAGGAGUGAAAUAAAUGUAAAAAAGACAAAAGGAGAAUAAGAAAAGUAGGGAGGAGGCUUGAAACACAAAAAAUGGAGGAACUAAAAACAAAAUGGCACAAGGAGAGAAGGAUGGCAAAGGAAGUGACAAAAAGGGAGAGAGAGAGGUAAAAUAGGGCAGGCUGGGUAUUAAGAGGAUCAGAAGCAGAAUAAUAAUUGAAUGUUUGUAACUUUUCUGUUAGCAAGUGAGCAACAUUCUUUUUUUUCAUGACAGACCCCGUGGUUUAUUAUCUGGUUUUCUCCCCUGUCAUCGAUGGGGACUUCCUCCCUGAUGAUCCAAGGAAUCUGUUCUCCAAUGCUGCCGAUGUGGAUUAUCUAGCAGGAGUAAACAACAUGGAUGCCCACAUGUUUGCAGGCGUUGAUUUGCCAGUUAUAAAUGAACCACUCCAGAAAAUUUCUGCGUAUGUCUAGUUUUCAUGCCUUGAUCAUUAGAUGAGAGAGAUAAGUAGUAAUGUAUGAAUGAAUGAUGUCAACUGGUAAUGACUGGAGAUCUGAUUAAUUAUGUCAACUGGUAAUGAUUGAGAAUCUGAUGAAUGAUAUCAACUGGUAAUGGUGGUCAGAGGAUAUAAAAUUAGAGAAUGGAUCUCAGGUUUUGAAUGGACCACUAACCAAUGGAUUAUGUAAUUGGUGUAUUACUGAAAUCUGAGGGGGAAUUGAUUAUGUCAACUGGUAAAUAUCCAUGUCAUGCACCGAUCUUAUAAUAAUGUUCUGUCUUAUAGAGCUAACAUAGAGAAACUAGUGGAGGGACUGACCCUUCCUAAAGGCACAGGGGGAUUCAACAUUGCAUACGACCUUUACACCACAAACUGGGGACCAAGUCCAAGUCAGGAGCAGAUGAAGAAGACCGUUAUUGAAAUUGAAACUGAUUACAUUUUCCUUGUACCAACACAAGAAGCAUUGGGACUUCAUUACCAGAAUGCUAGGUAAGUUGUUUAGUUUUCUUUUUGUUUUUAAACCUAAAAGAGUAGGUGUUAUUAAAAAAAUGAUGGGCCUUUAUUUACAAAUUUAAAGUUCCAUUAUCUAUAAAAAAUAAUAUGUCUGACAUUUGUUUAGCAAUGACAUAUGGCUGUCUUUAACCCUUUGAAUACCAGUUGAAAGAGGUAUGAUAGUGCUCACAUUGUUUUCAAUGGUGUUCUCAUUAUAUUUUUUCACAGUUUCAUGUCAUAUGAUUCUGAUGUCAUAUGAAAGCAGCUUCAUAAUGUUACCAUAUAAAGUAGUGACAAUUUUAUCUCAGCAUUUCCAAGAUGAGAUGUUUAAAGUGAAUCCGUAUUAUCCACAACAAAGGAUUUCAAGAUAGACAACCCUGAGUGAAGUUGACGUAUAAUCGCUUUAAGACAUUGUUGAGAUAUUAAUAUUCAAUGCUUACAUACAUGGUUUUGGAAUAGUGUGAGUGACCAUUUUGUACCAGAUCCCAUGUGUGCAUAACCCCAAAUCUUCAUUCUUAAUCCUAGGACUGCAAAGACAUACAGUUACCUCUUCUCUCACCCAUCCCGUAUGCCCAUAUACCCAAGCUGGGUAGGAGCUGAUCAUGCUGAUGACCUGCAAUAUGUAUUUGGAAAACCCUUCAAUAACGAACUGGCUUACAGACCUAAGGACAGAGACGUUGCCUCUGCCUUGAUUGCUUAUUGGACAAACUUUGCAGCAACUGGGUAAGGACAAAUCAUCAUUGUUUUCUGUACUCCACCAGAGUUGUGUUUGUUCUUCAUGAAUACCACAGAUGAACUAAGCAGGGGAUGGGUGUAUUCUAUUCACAGCUGUAAACCUGUGAGUUUCUGUUUUCAAAAACCUAGUUUACAAGUUAGUUAAAGGAACACUCCAAUCACCAUAACCACUACAGCUAGGUCUACCACCAUUCUUAGAAAAAAUACCGGCAAUGCUAAUUUGCAUAAUUAAAUAUAUGCGUGGCAUCAACUUUUGUUAUAAAUGAUAUGUUUGAUUGACAAAUUCAACGUAGGUAAAAGGCUAAUGGAUUGGGAGCAUAACAAUGGAAAUACAUCCUAGGAAACACGUUUUUCAAUAUACAACAGUGUGACUGUAAUGGUCGCUAAACAUUGGACUAUCGGGUGCUGUUACACUCACUGUGGUAUACUCUUAUGGGGGGAGGUGUAAUAAGCUAUUACACCAGGUUUUUCGCUAUUUAGUAAGAAUAAAACAAAUGAACACAAAUAAAAAAAUAAUAAUUAAAAUUAAAAAUAAAAUAUUUACAGUCAUUAAUCAUCGGGGUGUUCUAUGCCCAUGGAGCACUGCCUAGGAGAUGGGAGAUAAGGAAAAAGGGAGAUAAGGAUAAAGAAAGUAUGUACAGUUUCAGCCAUUUGGGCCUGUUUUAUCCUAUUGUGGUCAGUUGUUGUUAGGGAUGAAGGGUUGUACCUUCUCCACAUCCCAACGGUGUGCCCUCAGUGGAGGCUGUCUUGGUUGAUCAGUCAGGAAGAGGCCCAUCGCUUGCAGGAAGGCUUGUGAUUAAGCAGCAUCAGUGAAACAGUGCCGAGUGCCAUCUUUGGUGACUUGAAGUGAGCGUGGAUUACUCCAUCUAUAAGAGAUUCCAUUCUCCCAUAGGAUGCUAAUAACAGGGUGUAGGGAGCAUCUCCACUGCAGAGUGGCCUUGGACAGGUCUAAGUAGAAAGUAAGCAUGUGCGAUUCGAAUUCGCAUGAGGAAGAGCCAGCGACUGCUGCUAGCACUGCCAUUUUAUCCAGAGAGGACACAAACUGCACUAUGAGGUCCUUGUGGAGGGCUCCUGGCCGUUUUGGUGGUUUGGGUAUGAGGUAGUACUGAUUAAUAUGAUUGCCUUCACUAUUUUUUGUGGGAGUGGGUGGUGAAACAAGCGGCACAGAUAUUAGGGUAACUCGGCCGUGACCACCCCCUAGAGCUUAACAUGUUGCAUCAGCUUUUGUCUUUUCGCUACCAUGCCUUCUUGGGCCCGGAGAGCUUUAUCCUGCCCGUGAGGGAGCGCACAUCUUCCCGGAUUAUUGCCAGGUCUGCUUGGAACAGGGAUCUGAUGUCCUUUAGAAGUGACUUAAUGUCCCGCUUGGUAGCCGGCAUGUAACAGUCUUCAUCUGAGGAUGUAUGGUGAGGUCGAGGGUAUCUAGAAAGGGCUCCUCAUCGGAGGAAGUAUUCGUGGCCGUGUUGGCCAUCUGUAUGAAUACACCCAAAAAAUAAAAGGAAAACCUGUAAGUGUUAUUACAUCACACCCACAGCUGUUAGCAAGCCAUAAUUCACAGGAACAUAUGUCAGCGUAAACCACAGGAAGUGGCUGGCAGAGAUUCUAGUGGGAAUUAUUUUAUCUAACAGCCUGAGAGUAGGUAUAUAAAUAAAAGUGUGACUCAAAAGAUUCACCUUCCAGCUUCAGUGUCACAAAUGAUACCCUUUUCAUAUGAAGUAUAAUUAAUGAAUUCAUUUAUUUUUAUUUAUUUCACAGAGAUCCCAACACUGGGAAAUCCAAGGUCCCUACCCCUUGGCUGCCUUACAAUACUUAUUAUGGCCAGUAUCUAGAAAUCAAUAGUUCCAUCAGCUACCAGUCUAUGAAACAGAGUCUUCGUUCACCUUAUGUCAGAUUCUGGGUCCAGACCUACCGGAACCUACCCACACUCUAAACAACUAACCAUUAAGAUGAUGUUUCAGCAACUCUAAUGUGUGGUUUUAAUGUGGAUAUGUUAUGUUCUUUUGGAUGGAUUCUGACUCGAUAUGAGGGAUUGUUAAAAGAAUUGCUGAAUAAAACAAAAAUGUCUGUUACCUACCAAGGCUUUAUAGUCAUUCUGAUAUAUCUAUUACAAUUGUCAUUAUUUUCUGUUUAUGGUUUUCAAAUGGUG